AAUGGCAGCGUCCUACAGUGUAGCCUCCGCCUCCCGAUUGACUGGCCUGCUUGGCAAGGCAAGUAGCGGCGGCGCUUCAAGAUGCGCUGCCUGACCACGCCUAUGCUGCUGCGGGCCCUGGCCCAGGCUGCACGUGCAGGUAGGACCAAAGAAGCCUUUGCUGGGGGUAGGGGAGUCCAGUCUCCUGGUAUGACGUCACGCCCUUCUUUUUGCAGGACCUCCUGGUGGCCGGAGCCUCCACAGCAGUGCAGUGGCAGCCACCUACAGUGAGUACCUGGGUGGCCUCUAGCCUCAGGUGUUCCUGACUGGUCCUGCUGGAGUAGGGGAAGAGACCUGAGUUCCAGUCCUGGCUUUGUCAGGGGCGUUCUUCUCUGAGCCUGUUUCCACUUUUAAAAUGAUUAUGGUGAUGGAGACUGACUCUGAUUCACAGGGGCAGGGUCCAUCAUUGCCGAGGUUAGCAUGUGUGAUCUCAGAGCUCCCUGGGUGUGAUGGGGAGGGGGUUGCCAGGUGUGAGCCAUGGGUACCUGUGCCUAUUGCCAGUCCCUGGUGAAGGCAAAGGCUCAAGCCCCCCACCUACCCCCCUUGAUUCCUCUUUCAAGCCCUGUUGGGCAGGGA
rnacentral:lncRNA from 10 species